AUGAGAAGAGGAACAGUCAGAACCGACAGGGAGAGGGAGAUGAGAUGAGAAGAGGAACAGUCAGAACCGACAGGGAGAGGGAGAUGAGAUGAGAAGAGGAACAGUCAGAACCGACAGGGAGAGGGAGAUGAGAUGAGAAGAGGAACAGUCAGAACCGACAGGGAGAGGGAGAUGAGAUGAGAAGGGGAACAGUCAGAACCAACAGGGAGAGGGAGAUGAGAUGAGAAGAGGAACAGUCAGAACCGACAGGGAGAGGGAGAUGAGAAGAGAAGAGGAACAGUCAGAACCGACAGGGAGAGGGAGAUGAGAAGAGGAACAGUCAGAACCGACAGGGAGAGGGAGAUGAGAUGAGAAGAGGAACAGUCAGAACCAACAGGGAGAGGGAGAUGAGAUGAGAAGAGGAACAGUCAGAACCAAUAGGGAGAGGAAGAUGAGAUGAGAA
rnacentral:lncRNA from 1 species